AUUCUGCCCAUGUGGGGAGGAUGAGAAGCUUCGAUUCGAGCGUAGCGAGAAAGCGUUGCCAAAGGCAACGACCCGAAGGGCGAAGCGCUGAGUCAUCCUUCCCCACCACCA
rnacentral:sRNA from 2 species